GGGGGGGGGGGGAGAGAGAGAGAGAGAGAAAUAGAUGUGAGUGUUUGUUUUGGGGCUGAGAAAGAAGAGCGAAGGUUCGAAUAUAAAGAAGGGGAGGGAGAGGGGUGAAAUGGGAAAUUCGUAAAGGUUGCUGUUACAAAAUGGGGGGCCCAGUGUUUUGUGAAACGUGAUAACGGCGGCAUGAACCGAGGCAAGGCAAGGCAAUGCACCAGAUGCUCUUUUCUAGCGUUUCGUGCAACUCAUUGUUGAAGGUAAAGCUGAAUUCCUUUUAACCGGAAUCACACUUUUUCUCACAACAGUUUUUCGAAUCGCAUCACUUUUUAAACUCAUUUCAUCUACAAAAUAACCAUAAUACUAUUAUUAUUAUUAUUAUUUACCGUAGGAGGUAAAUUCUCGACUUUUUUUUUUUGAAUUAAUGAACUUCAUCAUUACGAGUUUUACUCUUAAGUAGAAAGUAACCGAGAACCAAAAAAAAAAAAAAAAAUUAGAAACAGAGAAAUUGUUGAACCUGUAAAUCCAUCAAAAGAAAGCUUAUAAUUAACUGUAAAUUCACGAUAUUUUAGUAAUUAAAAUUUUCUUAAUAAAUAAUCUUAAAAAAAAAAAAGACAAUUGAGCAGUAGUAAUAUGAAACGAGAAAUUGAUAAGGGGUUUUUGCCAACAUUUUGUCCUCAUUCACAUACCAACUGGAAAGUUGUUGGUCAUCGAUUCCUCUCUCUCUCUCUCUCUCUCUCUCUCUCUCUUUGUGAACUAACCGAUUUUAUUUUUAUGCUACUCUUCUUUAUUAUCCUUUUUUAUUUGUUCAGAUUUGUUACUGAUAGCGAUACGCAUGUGGAAAAGUGCUGGUUAUUGAAAAAGUGUCUAUUUUUAUUUAUUAUGCAAUUACGUAUACUAUUUUUUUUUCUAGUUUAUUGCUUCCAAUUAUUAUUAAAUCUUUUUUCUUGUAGAAAUUUUGAGAAGGUAAAAUAAUUAAGUAUAAGGGGAUAAGAGAGACAUGGGGCGCUCCCUCUUCUAGAAUUUGGACCAAACGGUGGUAACUACCCUAAAUUUUUAAUUCAAAUCAUAAAUACGAAAAUCUAUAUAUUCUCUAUAUACAUUAAUAUUAUAAUGUUGAACUAAUUUUAAUUUUUUAUUCCUAAGAUUCUUCAAAGACAAGCAUUUAAGUAUAUUUCAAGGUUUUUAUAUUGGAAAUUGCAAGUUAGAACUUUGUUUUAUCGCCGCAAAGCCGUUUAAAAAUUUUGUAUAUCCCGGAGAAAAAUGGAAAACAAAAAAUUGUAGACACAACACUACAAACUUUCUAUUUUGUUUGUAUUUGUUGUGUCUAACUUCUUAGAAACUAUUGGCAACCUUGCAUUCGUGUGUUUUACAUAUCAUGUUUUUUUACCCCCUCAAAAAAAAAAAAAAAAUUAUCUUAUUUUUAAAAAAAUAAGAAAUAAUAUUUUUUUUUUAUUUCCAAAACAAUAUGUUUUGUAUAACAUCCUUAGAGACUACAUAAAAAACAUGUUACAUUUAAAGUCGCAUCAAUAAUUCCGAUCCUUGAGAACUACUAGAAAUAUAUGUACAUUUAAUUUGGCAUUCCAUUUAAUACAAUAGAACACUUCGAUAAAGACACAUGGCGGCGAGUGAGCAUAUGCAUGUGAGCAACACAUGGACUCGGCUUGUCUUAAAUAUGUGAACCACGUCAACAUAUCAAAUUAACUUCAAUCACACCCAUACCUUCCCAUGUGAAUUUAAUUUAUUAUAUGUUUAGUAAUUAGUACUAUUUCAUUCUCAAAAAAAAUGAAAUAUGUUUUAGUCCAUUGUUGACGAGCUAAAAUGUUUGAGAAGAUUAUCUUUUGUGUGUUUAAGGGACGUCGGAGGAACUUCCUCUCAAGGCAUCUGUAAAGUGGGGAAAGUACCUUAGGGAUUUACAAAAGAAGACACUGUUAGAAGUUGAAUCCGUGGUGGUCGGCAACGGUACUCCGACAGUCAAGUUAGGGUGGAGAAAGUAGUGAGGAUCUUUUAGUGACUAGGUAACAACUAAAAUUAAGAAUAUGAGAAUGAGGAAGAAGAUCCUUUUUACUUAUAAACUUGACCUAACCGAGGUGCCCCUGAGGACGUCUUUGAGUCUAUGUGGACACAUGGGAGACUUAUUGGUCCUGCCCCUCUUCAAUUAGGGUAAAAUGAUACAUGUAUGUUCUAUUCAAAUAUUGGAGCCCCUGUAAUAUUUUCCAUAUAGCUAUACACGCAUAUUUACUCUUUUGAUAUUUGGUCUCUUUGAGUUUGUUAGGGACUGAAGUUACUUGAAAAGUGGCAUUCCCUUGAUGAAUUUUACGUACCUCAUUGAAUUUUGAUGCUCUUUGAUUUUUUAGGGGCUAGGCAUGUCUACUGGUCUCCCUGGAACGACCAAUUUAGGCGUUGUAACUUUCACCAGCAGGAGACUAAUUAGAAUUUAUUUGGAGAGGAGGAUGAUUAGUUGGAACAAACCUAUUGGUCUAUAGGUUAAUCGAGUUGGUGAAAUGUAGUGGAGGCCUUGUCAUAUCAAGCCUAGGAAAAACUAAGCUGGCUUAGGAGAAACUCCAAAACCCAGUAUGGCUUAGGUUGAAUUCAUGGUCUCCGCUGUCAAUCAUCACCUACUUGUUCCUCUUCGGAUAUUUUCUACUGCCCUAGGGGGCUUUAAGAUGUUAAGGAACAAAUGAGAUGGACUUCCCCUAUGAUGAGGAUUCCUGGCCUUUCUCCUUAGACAUGCAGCAUUCUGUUUUAGGCCUCGAAAAUUAACCAUUAACAACGCAACAGUCGAUUUUCAUGAAAACAUUAUGCAGCAAUGUAAUAUUAUUAUUUCUAAUUUAGUGUAAAUGUAGUUGCCGAUAUUAGUUGGCUGUUAAAUUACUUUCAUAAUAGUCGCUUACAUGAGUUUAUGAUUUCUCCAUUAUUUAUAUAUGCCCUCUCAAACUAAAUUCUUGUUCCACCACUAAUCUUGAAAUUUUUUAUUCGUGAUA
rnacentral:lncRNA from 1 species